ACUUUCAUUUUUACAUCUGCCACACAGAAAAGGGGAGGGGGGCAUUGUAAAGGGAGUAGCCUCUGGUCCUUUCCACUUGGGGAUGGAAAGUUGGGGUUUUCGUUUUGAUUUAGUUCUAGGAAGUCAGUGUGAAUCGUAAAUCAGCCUCAGGUUCGCCGCCUCCAGACCCUAUUCUCCUGCCUCACAGAGAGGGCAACUCCCAGGCUGAGCAGCUGCCAGAGCUCAGCAGUGGGUGGCUGAUCAUGCUCAGCCUCCGGGAGAAGAAAGAGUACACCUAGAAGAGGGGAGGAGAAAGCUUUUCUCCUCCCUGAGAUGGGGAAGAGUGGGGCUGGGCGGGGUCUCAGCUCCCGACAAGGCUGUGAGGCCAUCCUGGGCACGUGGCCCUGGACUGUCCCAGGGGAAGCCCCUCUCCACUUCCCCCAAUCCCUUCCCAAGCCAAGCCCAGCAGCCAGGAGCCAUUAGGGGUUAGAGGAAGACUGCAGAAAAGGCCAAAGGUGCAUCUGGUAGUUUGCCUUGCGAGCCCACACGGGUGGGUGAAGAAAUUCACUGGGUACUGUGCUGAGGGCAAAAAGUCAGGAGUUUUUAAGUUCUAGGAAAGCGGAGUUUAUGUUGGUUGUGCCCUCUAAACAGUAAAGGGUCCUCUGGAUAUGUAGGGCCGAGUCCACGGCUCUGCUCACACUUGGAUACUCAGUCUCAUUCCUCCCUGGCCAGCAGGAGCUUUCUGUUGGGUCCAGUUAGGGUCUGAGGCGCCUGGGUCCCACAAACUAGAUGGCCAUAGGGACGUCCGGAUUCAACCUGCUCCAAUUCAGCAGCUGCGGCGAAAAUAACAUCCAGUCGUGUUUUCUCCCAGGUUCUACUCUGAGUGGGCCCCACUCGCCAAGUACACACUGAAGCCUCACCAUUGUGCUCCCGUCAAAGCCCUGGUUUCCUCCAUGGGAGCUGGCCCUUCAGGACCUCUCAGCUGUGCUCCUGUGGGGUCUGGCAGCUCUCUGAAAAUCGCCGGGAAAGUUGGGAUUGCCCCGCAGCGUGGGGGUGAUGCCGCUGCAGCGCAGGCUGGGACAGAGAGCAGCCCGGAUGCGCGGAGCAGACUUGGACUUCAGAGCACCUUCGCUGAAGCCGAGUGCUGCUGUGCCAGGUUUGUGGCGGUCAUGGUGGAAAGUGGAUGAAGCUGACUUGCAGCCAAGGCUUCGCCUCCAGCACCAUGGCCCUAGAUGUGGUGGCCUCACCUUAUUGACUGAGUUGCUUUCCCUGAUCUAUGAAGAUACAUAGUGAGCCAGUGAGAGCUUAAAAAAACUGUGAGCCAAUUUUGCAAGCACCUCUGGCAAGAUGUCGUGGUGGUCUAGAGGGGCUGUCACACAAUGCAGCUGGAGGAAGGUGAGGGUAUACCUCGGCCGUCCUCAUCGUCCCUCCUUCUUUCUUGUCCUGGUGCCCAGGGAUUGCUGUAGUAACAGUACAGGUCCCUCUGGAAUCCCGGGGGAACCGAAUAUUGGUAAACGAAGAGGUGAUGUGGCUGGUGGAGAAGAGGAUAUGGAGAUGGCAUAACACAAGCCCCAUGGACCCCCAGCUCCAGGCUGAGCCUGUGUGGACCACAGCACUGUGAUCCAGGUGUCCUCCUGCCUCCUGCCAUCUUUUGGAUUGUUUGGAAGCUCAAUUCAAAUUAUUCACGAAAACUCAAAUAUUUGUUUCCUAUUAAAAAAAAAAGUCUUCUUUUUAAAACAAACUCUGAGAUUGACCAAGGCACACAGAUGCCCUGGAGCUUCCUCCCCAACUCCACUGGGCUAUUCUCUCCCUUGCAGUUCAGCUGCUGCUUCCUUCCAUGCCAAAGAGCAUCCCCAUCUCCAACUCGUCCUUUCUCCUUUGUGCAUUAAAACAACUUGAGAUCCUCAGAAUGGACUGCUCCCCAAACUAAAACAAAAAAAUGCAAGCAUAAUAAAAUGCAUAGAAAGGCAUGGAAUCAAACUUGAAAUAUGCAAGGUUUGGGCAUUCCAUUAUUUAUGAGCAUGAAGGCCUUUCACAAAUCAAAAUCUCUUUUAAAUUGAAAGUGCCUUUCUUCCUCUCCCCCUCCUUCCCUCCUUUCCUCCCACCCUCAAUCCCUUCCCUUCUUUCUCUCCCUUUUUUUCUCACCUUCUCAACUUCUAUCUUUCUUAAGAUAAGAGGUUCGUGUGAUGCUCCUAUUUAUGUGGCUUUCUUUAAAAAUGAGAAGAGGAGGAGCCAGGCUACACCAAGGAAAUACUCAACCCCAUGCUUCUGCAGGUGUCAACCUAGAAGGCACCAAUCCAGGUGGAAGAGGUUCUCUCUCCUGCCCUACUGUCUUUGCCAGGGGUGGUGU
rnacentral:lncRNA from 1 species